rnacentral:rRNA from 1 species
AUUGAACGCUGGCGGCAGGCCUAACACAUGCAAGUCGAGCGGUAGCACAGGAGAGCUUGCUCUCUGGGUGACGAGCGGCGGACGGGUGAGUAAUGUCUGGGAAACUGCCUGAUGGAGGGGGAUAACUACUGGAAACGGUAGCUAAUACCGCAUAACGUCGCAAGACCAAAGAGGGGGACCUUCGGGCCUCUUGCCAUCAGAUGUGCCCAGAGGGGAUUAGCUAGUAGGUGGGGUAACGGCUCACCUAGGCGACGAUCCCUAGCUGGUCUGAGAGGAUGACCAGCCACACUGGAACUGAGACACGGUCCAGACUCCUACGGGAGGCAGCAGUGGGGAAUAUUGCACAAUGGGCGCAGGCCUGAUGCAGCCAUGCCGCGUGUAUGAAGAAGGCCUUCGGGUUGUAAAGUACUUUCAGCGGGGAGGAAGGCGAUAAGGUUAAUAACCUUGUCGAUUGACGUUACCCGCAGGAGAAGCACCGGCUAACUCCGUGCCAGCAGCAGCCGCUGUAA